UACGAAGGGGGCUAGCGUUGCUCGGAAUCACUGGGCGUAAAGGGUGCGUAGGCGGGUCUUUAAGUCCGGGGUGAAAUCCUGGAGCUCAACUCCAGAACUGCCUUUGAUACUGAAGAUCUUGAGUUCGGGAGAGGUGAGUGGAACUGCGAGUGUAGAGGUGAAAUUCGUAGAUAUUGGGAAGAACACCGGUGGCGAAGGCGGCGACCUGGUCCGAUACUGACGCUGAGGCGCGAAAGCCAGGGGAGCGAACGGG
rnacentral:rRNA from 1 species